GGUCUUCGGAUUGUAAAGCACUUUAAGUUGGGAGGAAGGGUUGUAGAUUAAUACUCUGCAACUUUGACGUUACCGACAGAAUAAGCACCGGCUAACUCUGUGCCAGCAGCCGCGGUAAUAAUC
rnacentral:rRNA from 1 species